CUGCAUGGUGUCAGAGCAAAGUUGUCUUUCCUUAGAAUUGUAGCAAAUGCAAAAGAGCAUUAGUUUUUUUUCUGGGGAGCAAUAAGAGACAGGGUAAAAUGGAAGACCAAGAUUGUGUUUACUUGAAGAUAAAACAGCCUUUGCAAUAGGUGAAAGGCCAAACUAACAGAUGAAGAAAUGUUUUUUUCAGGAAGCUUGAGAUCUCUCCUUCCCCUUGCAGUCAGAAGUCUAAUUCGAUUCAACAAACUCAAUAUAAGUAAUACUUCUGGAAUGGCUAAGGGCUAUAAACAGGCAAAUGUUGUGAUUUUGCACAAAUCCCUUGCUGAUGACUUUGAAAAGUUUUGCCAUGCAAAUGAUGGACCUCUCCCACUGCUGUACAGAAGUAAACCAGGUGAAUGGAAAUGUCCUUCUCUGAGCAGCAAUUCUGAUAUCAGAACUGAUUGCCUACAAUACAGGAUAUAUGAGUAUGGAGCUUGUACUGGCACUUCGACAAGUCUAAAGGAUUAUUUUGAUCAGCUUAAAGACAUGGUGACUUUUUACUUAGGCUGCAGCUUCUCAUUUGAAAAGGCAGCCCACAAGGUUGGUGUUCCUCUAAGGAACGUUGAGCAGAAAUGCAACGUAAGCAUGUACAAGACGGAUAUGCCUUGCUGCAGAGUUGCUAGUUUUUGCUGCAAUUUAGUGGUCACAAUGAGACCGAUUCCUGAAGACCAGUUAGAAGCAGUUGUGGAAGCUACUUAUCCAUUGAAAGACUCACAUGGAGCACCUGUUCACAUUGGUAACCCUGGCCUAUUAGGAAUCCAAAACCUUUCCAGCCCAGACUAUGGAGAUCCAGUUCAGCCUCACCCUCAGGAUGUUCCAGUGUUUUGGGCCUGUGGAGUAACUGGGGUGGAAGCAGUCAGCAACUGCAAGUCUCCGCUGGCUUUUACACAUUCUCCUGGGUGUAUGUCUAUUACUGCCCUGAAGAAUGAAGAUGCUCCAGUUCAUAACUCUAAAGAAAUCCCCAUGGUCCACUGCAUUUCUCAAAAUCCUUUGCAUUAUAGCAUUGCAUCAGAAACAGCUGUGCGAAAGAUAAGAGAGCUAGAAAGUCUAAUUGGAAUAGAUCCAGGAGACCGGGGCAUGAAACAUUUGUGCUGCCAGGAUGAGCUGCUAAAGACUUGCCUCUCCCUUUCACAUGCCCGAUCAGUGCUGAUAACCACUGGAUUUCCUACUCACUUCAACCACGAGCCACCUGAAGAGAAUGAUGGACCUCCAGGAGCCAUUGCUAUGGCAGCCAUGUUGCAGAGCUUGGAGAAAGAUGUUGUUAUAGUAACAGACCAGAGAGCCAUGGGUUUGAAUAAAAAGAUUAUUGAGGAUGGUGUUCAGCAAGGGGUACUGAAGACACCAGUGCCUCUAUUGAGUUAUCAGGGAGAUGCUGCAGAGUCAGCUUUGAUGUUUCUGUGUGAGAAUGGAAAUCUUGAAAGACCCAGAUUUGAUCAGCUGAUAGCAAUAGAACGUGCAGGGAUGGCUGCUGAUGGCAAUUAUUACAAUGCAAGGAAAGUCAAUAUUAAGCAUCUAGUGGAUCCCAUAGAUGAACUGUUUCUAGCUGCACAUAACAUCCCUGGAGUCACAACAACAGGCAUUGGGGAUGGAGGAAAUGAACUGGGAAUGGGAAAAGUAAAAGAAGCUGUAAGGAAACACAUAAAAAAUGGAGAUGUUAUAGCUUGUGACGUUGAAGCUGAUUUCGCUAUUGUAGCCGGGGUCUCUAACUGGGGAGGCUAUGCUGUUGCUUGUGCUCUGUAUAUCCUCAACACCUGUGAAAUACAUGAUCGCUAUCUGAGGAAAGCUAUUGGGUUCCCCAGAUUGUCCAAGAAGGCAAACUGGGCAUCAGCACUUCCAUCCAUUACUAAGGAAGAAAAGUUGCUGAAAAUACUUAUACAGCAUGGAGUCCGUAGUGGAGUAACUGCCAGUCUCGAAAUGGAAGUGGAUGGACUGCCCUUCUACAACGUACACUCAGUUAUAAUUGAAAAACUGCUUGAGCAGAUACCGUGAUGACUUUUCCCUAACCAUUUCUAAACUCUAAAGUUUCUAUUAGAUUAUCUCUCCACCCCAAUCUAACAACAAGGGACGUUUCAUUAGCCCCAUUUGGCAGAUGAAGACAUGAGAGCUGGAGAGAUUAAAUGAUUUCAUCAAGAUCACACAAGGAGUCUGACACAGACAUGAAUGCAGCUCUCAAGGGUCCCAGGCUUGUGCCUUCACCACAAGAUCAUCUUUCCUGUUUGAUAAGUAUAAAACUCUUAGUUAUGACUCACUCAUACAGCCUAUGGCCUUAUAUAGUAAAAGGUGACCCGUGUUUCAUGAAAAAAAUCAAGUGUCUCUUCCCAUUAAAUGCAGAAGUGUUAUAACCCCAUUGCUUGUUCCUGUUUUACUAAGCCACAUAGCUGCAACAGAAAGUAGUGCUUGUAGCAACUUGUUUUUUAAAAGACAGUAUGGCAAGCAGCUCCAAUAAAGGUGCAGGUUAAAAAAAAAGAGGCUUCAUGGCAGUGAAAGUCCUAAAUGUAUCAUCUACACCAGAGGUUCUCAAACUGUGGUCCGCAGACAACCAGUGGUC